GCGGAGGAAAAGAAACCAACAGGGAUUGCCUCAGUAACGGCGAGUGAAGCGGCAAAAGCUCAAAUUUUAAAGCUGGCACCUUCGGUGUCCGCGUUGUAAUUUUGUGAGGCAUCUCCGGGUAGGGCGCCGGCCUAAGUUCCUUGGAACAGGACGUCACAGAGGGUGAGAAUCCCGUGCUUGGCUGGCUGUCCCCGUCCAUGUGAGGUGUCUUCGACGAGUCGAGUUGUUUGGGAAUGCAGCUCAAAAUGGGUGGUAAAUUUCAUCUAAAGCUAAAUAUUGGUGGGAGACCGAUAGCGCACAAGUAGAGUGAUCGAAAGAUGAAAAGCACUUUGAAAAUAGAGUUAAAAAGUACGUGAAAUUGUUGAAAGGGAAGCGCUUGAGAUCAGACUUCGGUAGGGGGUGAUCAGCCGUCCUUCUGGGCGGUGCACUUGCCCCUCUCCGGGCCAGCAUCGGUUGAGGCGGCGGGAUAAAGGUCCCGGGAAUGUGGCUCCUUCGCGGGAGUGUUAUAGCCCGGGUGAAUGCCGCCAGUCUCGACCGAGGACCGCACCCGCAAGGGUUAGGAUGCUUGGCAUAAUGGUCUUCAGCGACCCGUCU
rnacentral:rRNA from 1 species